AGUUUUUAGUCAUAAAAUUAAAAAAAUUGAUAGUUAUCAGUCAAUUUUUUGAAUAUGGUAGUUCAGUAGGACGGGAACCCCUAAUGUGGUAGUUUUUUGUCAAAUACUCCAAGAAUAGAGUUUACACCAUAUACACGUGGUUAGUUUGUUCCUUUUUCUAUUGUCCUGAUUAUAUUCCAUCACAGAUUGAGAAACCAAAAGUGGUCAAGGACUCGAGUUGCAGGGACUACUUAAUUUGUGCAGAAUAUAUUUGAUAUGUUCUGAUCCAUAACAAAAAUAGUAUUCUUCAUUUGAUGGUUUGUUAGAUGUUAUGUGAUAGUUUGUGAGUUGUCCUUCCAUGUAUCUGAACUGUGAUGUGGUUUACAGGGUUAGACUAGGUAAGUCUUCUUUUGGUUCUGCAUCCAAAAUAGCCAUAUGGAUGCAAGUACUUUAGACACGUAUCUGUAAUGAAACUGGUGCAGGUGGUGCUCUGUUACUUGGAAACCAAAAAGGACAUAAACGAAGUGUGCACAUAUAUAAGAAAAAUAUGUCUUCCCAUAAACUAAAACAUCAAGGUUAUACAAAUAGAGAAAAUGAACCAGUGGCCAUCAUGGUGAAAGUAAAAAAAACUUAGGAUUUGGUUGUCUAUCUGAUCCAUAAGUAAGCAAGCAGGGGCCAUGUUGUCAAGGAGGUUAGCCAUCUGUGUUAAACCAGUACUGUAGAGAUGCUGCUAGACUAGAGGCGGUGGUCACUGAUGAGGUGAAAUGGUAAUUUAUGCAGUAACAUCCCAACUGUAAACUGACUAUGAUGUACUACCUCUGUUUCAACUGAUUCCACUGAUAGUGCUUCUAACGGUUCGAGGUUUACCUUUUAUUUUUUAUUGUGACUGCAGAAAAUGGAUGACAUCACCGAACUGAACAUUGCAUAGGAUUUUGAUAACCGAUCUUCAAAAAUAAUAAUUCUGAAUCAGGUAUUUCUGGAGCCAUCACCUAUGUCACCAACUAUGUCAACAUCUACUCCAGUUUCUGAGUGUUUUGAAUUGAUUGUGCCCGAAUCAGAUAAUUAGAUAGAUCGUGAUCCAUUGACAUCACCUCCAUCCCCAUCGAGCUCGACAUUAUCUCAUGUUUUUUCAUUACAUGAUGUCAAGGAACCAGAUUCACAUAAAGAGAUCAAAGUCGAUGAGACAUAUGAUUAUCUCCCACAAGGGAGCCCAAUCGGUGGAAGGUGAUUUGUCAAAGAGAAUUCUAGCAGCCAACAGUUAAUAGACGGUGAGCAGGGAGACAAUGAACAUGUAGAGCUGGAUUUUUUUUAGAAAGCAAAGCUGGAGUUUGGUUUGUCCUUAAGACAUCACUUAAGAAGUUCUUCACCACAUGUAAAUUUUUUUGGAGCUUCCAAGGAUAUACAUUUUUUGGGUUGCCAAUUAUAAGAGUUAAUGGAGUGCUUUAAAAUUUGAUGUUUGUGGGUUCUGAAAUGAUAAUAUUGUGGAAAUUGCAAGCACUACCGUGUCAUGUACUGUCUUGAUCCAUAGUUGUUUGUCAUUGGUUUUAUGUGUUUCCUCUUUCGCUUUUACUAUAACAAGUGCAGAUUGAGUUUCUAUAUAAACAGAAAA